rnacentral:rRNA from 1 species
GUUUGAUCCUGGCUCAGAACGAACGCUGGCGGCGUGCCUAACACAUGCAAGUCGAACGUGAUCCAGAGCUUGCUCUGGUGAAAGUGGCGCACGGGUGAGUAACGCGUGGAUAACCUACCCUGGUAUCCGGGAUAACAUUCCGAAAGGGGUGCUAAUACCGGAUAAGCCCACGGGCUCUUUGGAGCUUGCGGGAAAAGGUGGCCUCUAUUUAUAAGCUACUGUAUCAGGAUGGGUCCGCGUACCAUUAGCUAGUUGGCGGUGUAACGGACCACCAAGGCGACRAUGGUUAGCUGGUCUGAGAGGAUGAUCAGCCACACUGGAACUGAGACACGGUCCAGACUCCUACGGGAGGCAGCAGUGGGGAAUUUUGCGCAAUGGGGGAAACCCUGACGCAGCAACGCCGCGUGAGUGAUGAAGGCCUUUGGGUCGUAAAGCUCUGUCAGAGGGGAAGAAAUGAUAUAGUGCUAAUACCACUUUAUCUUGACGGUACCCUCAAAGGAAGCACCGGCUAACUCCGUGCCAGCAGCCGCGGUAAUAC